ACGAACGCUGGCGGCGUGCCUAAUACAUGCGAGUCGAGCGAAGUUUUUCUGGUGCUUGCACCGGAAAAACUUAGCGGCGAACGGGUGAGUAACACGUAAAGAACCUGCCUCAUAGACUGGGACAACUAUUGGAAACGAUAGCUAAUACCGGAUAAUAGCAUUAACUGCAUGGUUGAUGUUUAAAAGUUGGUUUUGCUAACACUAUGAGAUGGCUUUGCGGUGCAUUAGCUAGUUGGUGGGGUAAAGGCCUACCAAGGCGACGAUGCAUAGCCGACCUGAGAGGGUGAUCGGCCACACUGGGACUGAGACACGGCCCAGACUCCUACGGGAGGCAGCAGUAGGGAAUCUUCCGCAAUGGGCGAAAGCCUGACGGAGCAACGCCGCGUGAGUGAAGAAGGAUUUCGGUUCGUAAAGCUCUGUUGUUAGGGAAGAAUGAUUGUGUAGUAACUAUACACAGUAGAGACGGUACCUAACCAGAAAGCCACGGCUAACUACGUG
rnacentral:rRNA from 1 species